rnacentral:lncRNA from 1 species
CUUUCCAGUUGCCCUAAAUAUCCCUCAGUUACUUUGAAGAACAGUUUCUUCAUAAGGAGCUGUUUCCUGGUCUAUACAGCAGGAAAAACUUGAAAGGAAGUUGUAAGCAAGAGACACAUAAAACUUCAGGAGUAGGUGAAACUCUGAAUGUUGUCAAUAAAACUAAAUAAUCUGGUGAAGAACUUUAAGUGCUACAAAGCACUGACAUGAUGAAGAACACCUGAUUAUAAGGUAAGUCAGA